CAGAAUGAGAGAUUGGUACAGGUUGAAGGGAAAUGCUGCCCAGAAUGUUGGCAUCCUCUACUGUGCAAGUUUGAUAAUAUUGUCUAUCAGUCUGGGGACACCUGGCACCCUGACCCAUGUACUGUUUGUAACUGUGUCUCUGGGGAGAGCCUGUGUUACCAGAAGACAUGUUCUGCCUGUGCCCCAGGCAUGGUGCCUGUCAGGGUAGGAGAAGAGUGCUGUGGCCAAUGUAGGACAGUGGAGUGUGGCCCAGACUGUGCAGAGUGUCUGCCUGAUGAGCCCAGUGUCUGUAGGACCUGCCAUGAUGAGAGGA